CCAAUAGCGUAUAUUAGUGUUGUUGCGGUUAAAAAGCUCGUAGUUGAAUUUCGGGAUUGGGAUAUAUCGGUCGUGCCUUUAGGGGCAUGAAUCAGUGUGUGGCCAAUUCUCACCUUCUGGUGAAUUGGGAUGCUCUUGGGUGUUUCAAUGAACUAGGACUUUUACUUUGAAAAAAUUAGAGUGUUUAAAGCGGGCAUUUUUGCUUGAAUACGUUAGCAUGGAAUAAUAAAAUAGGACGAUGGUUCUAUUUUGUUGGUUUUAGGACCACGUAAUGAUUAAUAGGGAUAGUUGGGGGCAUUAGUAUUCAAUUGUCAGAGGUGAAAUUCUUGGAUUUAUUGAGGACUAACUAUUGCGAAAGCAUUUGCCAAGGAUGUUUUCAUUAAUCAAGAACGAAAGUUAGGGGAUCAAAGACGAUUUAUGUACGUCGUAGUCUUAACCAUAAACUAUGCCGACUAGGAAUCAGACAAAGUUAAUUUUUUAACGACUUGUUUGGUACCUUACG
rnacentral:rRNA from 1 species